GACGAACGCUGGCGGCGUGCCUUAUACAUGCAAGUAGAACGCUGAAGGAGGAGCUUGCUUCUCUGGAUGAGUUGCGAACGGGUGAGUAACGCGUAGGUAACCUGCCUGGUAGCGGGGGAUAACUAUUGGAAACGAUAGCUAAUACCGCAUAAUAGUAGAUGUUGCAUGACAUUUGCUUAAAAGGUGCAAUUGCAUCACUACCAGAUGGACCUGCGUUGUAUUAGCUAGUUGGUGGGGUAACGGCUCACCAAGGCGACGAUACAUAGCCGACCUGAGAGGGUGAUCGGCCACACUGGGACUGAGACACGGCCCAGACUCCUACGGGAGGCAGCAGUAGGGAAUCUUCGGCAAUGGACGGAAGUCUGACCGAGCAACGCCGCGUGAGUGAAGAAGGUUUUCGGAUCGUAAAGCUCUGUUGUAAGAGAAGAACGAGUGUGAGAGUGGAAAGUUCACACUGUGACGGUAUCUUACCAGAAAGGGACGGCUAACUACGUGCCAGCAGCCGCGGUAAUACGUAGGUCCCGAGCGUUGUCCGGAUUUAUUGGGCGUAAAGCGAGCGCAGGCGGUUAGAUAAGUCUGAAGUUAAAGGCUGUGGCUUAACCAUAGUACGCUUUGGAAACUGUUUAACUUGAGUGCAAGAGGGGAGAGUGGAAUUCCAUGUGUAGCGGUGAAAUGCGUAGAUAUAUGGAGGAACACCGGUGGCGAAAGCGGCUCUCUGGCUUGUAACUGACGCUGAGGCUCGAAAGCGUGGGGAGCAAACAGG
rnacentral:rRNA from 1 species